CCUGAGGUGACUUAUAAUCUGUCUGUUUGG
rnacentral:piRNA from 1 species